rnacentral:rRNA from 1 species
GCCCUUCCUACGGGAGGCAGCAGUAAGGAAUAUUGGUCAAUGGACGGAAGUCUGAACCAGCCAUGCCGCGUGCAGGAAGACUGCCCUAUGGGUUGUAAACUGCUUUUGUACGGGAACAAACGUCGGUACGUGUACCGGUCUGAGUGUACCGUAAGAAUAAGGAUCGGCUAACUCCGUGCCAGCAGCCGCGGUAAUAAGGGC